UUUAAUUAAUUAAUUUAAUUUAUUUCUGCAAUCAUGUAUUUACAGUGUUUUGGCUUUAGGUCCUCCCAACCAGCUGCCGUUUUAACUCAAGACGAAGAAGAUCUGUUUCAGUCACGUGACUCGGUGACGUAAGUGUCAUGACGGACGGCUGCUGGGAGAGAGACUGAAAAGAGGAGGAAAAAGAGCUGAAUGGCGGGAGGAGAAGCUCCAGGCGAGGAGGAGAGGGAACGCUGUCGGCCAUGUUGUCUGACUGAAGGAGCAUCUGUCUGCUGAGGAGGAGGCGACAUGAGUUCUUCACAGGAGGUCAGUGAAACGGUCACUCGGAGACGAACACGUCUUCAGCUGCGGUUUGAAGGAGGAAACAAUAAAAACCUGCGUCAAUCACACAAAAUAAAAGGCUUUUAAUGUAAAGGUUCAGCAGCAGGAAAUAUUUCACCACCGCUGCAGAGUUUGUAGUACUGCAAAUAUAUGAAUAUUGCAAAACAGUGGCCAGCCGGAUGUGGAGCAUGGGGCACCAGUUGAGGGUCACUGCUGUACAGUUUGCACACAGAGGAUGCAGCGCCACACUGCAUCUCACCACCUGUUACAGGCUCCUCUUCAUCGACUUCAGCGUUCAACAACAAGAUUCACAGCAGCUGGUUGGAGAAGGUCGCUGUGUGUGGACGCUGGCACCUGCAACUGUGUCUUCAACGUCCUGUCAGAGAGGGCAGACCGACAUCAGCAGCGACCACAGUGAGCACAGGUUCACCUCAGGGCUGGAGACCCCUGCUGGGCUGAGCUGAUCUGAGAACGGUUCAUACUGUCAAACAGCCUGCAAGUGAAACAGUCUGGAUGUUUACACGUCACCUGAACGCAGCGUGGAGUCAGCUGAGGCACCGUGUGGUACUGUACGUUCAAAUUAACCAGAGAGACUCCAGCUGUAUCAGUUGUCGGUCAUGUUUCAUAUUCUUCAUAAUUAUAUCCAAUCAUCAUUCAGACCAAAAUCACGCCCUUCACACUGGAAACACAUCAGCUGGGGUGUAACAGCAAAACUCAAAGUUUCCACAUGGUGCUAAAGUUCAAAUUCCAGUGCCGCUCCUGACCAGGAAUAAGAACAGACUAGAUCAUUGUUAGCAUAAAGCCUUUGAAGCACAAUGAAGCUCUUCAUUAGUUUCCUGUUACGGACAAUGAAACAAGUUCUGUCACCAAGUAUCUCAGAGUGGAAAGCUUCUAAAAGAGACAGAGAAAAGAGAUAUCUGUUAGUGAAUGUGGAGCAGUUAUUGUAACAUGAUGCCUCAUUAUGCCUUAUUGUUUUCAGGUCUGCAGACAGAGGGAGAAAGUUCUCAGUUCUUCCAGUGGUUAUUUAACUUGAUAAUGAUCGUUUCAGAAAAUAUAGUUACACAGGAAUAUUUAAUCAAAUUGUAAUUUCUUUUAACGCCAUGAAAACGUGCAGAGCUGCCGGUUGUGUAGUUUCCCCGUCAUGGUCCUAGCCUGACACCUGGUGGACAUGUCAGACAUCUGCACCUACAGAAGUGUGUUCAGAAAAGGUUUUAAUGAAUUUGAUUUGUAGUUUGUAUCCUGGUUCAGGAUGAUUAACAGCUCUUUACCUAGAUGUAAAGUUGAUCUUCUCUGAUGCUGUCGAAUAAACAAUAGAAAGAGACACCACACUCCACACUGAACAUGUAUUUGUGAUAAUGCAAUAAUUGGCAAUAAACUUCAAACGAAAUGUUUGAAAAGA